rnacentral:rRNA from 1 species
UGCAAGUCGAGGGGUAACAGGUGUAGCAAUACAUGCUGACGACCGGCGCACGGGUGCGUAACACGUAUAUAAUCUACCUAUAACUGGGGGAUAGCCCGAAGAAAUUCGGAUUAAUACCCCAUAACAUUGCGAAAUGGCAUCAUAUUGCAAUUAAAGCUCCGGCGGUUAUGGAUGAGUAUGCGUUCGAUUAGCUAGUUGGUGAGGUAACGGCUCACCAAGGCGACGAUCGAUAGGGGUACUGAGAGGUUACACCCCCACACUGGUACUGAGACACGGACCAGACUCCUACGGGAGGCAGCAGUAAGGAAUAUUGGACAAUGGUCGCAAGACUGAUCCAGCCAUGCCGCGUGCAGGAUGACUGCCCUAUGGGUUGUAAACUGCUUUUGUAUGGGAAUAAACCCUUCUACGUGUAGAAGGCUGAAUGUACCAUAAGAAUAAGGAUCGGCUAACUUCGUGCCAGCAGCCGCGGUAAGACGAAGGAUCCAAGCGUUAUCCGGAUUUAUUGGGUUUAAAGGGUGCGUAGGCGGAUUGAUAAGUCAGUGGUGAAAGCCUGUUGCUUAACAACAGAACUGCCAUUGAUACUGUCAAUCUUGAAUAUGUUUGAUGUGGGCGGAAUAUGACAUGUAGCGGUGAAAUGCUUAGAUAUGUCAUAGAACACCGAUUGCGAAGGCAGCUCACAAAGCCAUUAUUGACGCUGAGGCACGAAAGCGUGGGGAUCAAACAGGAUUAGAUACCCUGGUAGUCCACGCUGUAAACUUUGAUCACUCGCUGUUGGCGAUACACUGUCAGCGGCUAAGCGAAAGCGUUAAGUGAUCCACCUGGGGAGUACGAUCGCAAGAUUGAAACUCAAAGGAAUUGACGGGGGCCCGCACAAGCGGUGGGAGCAUGUGGGUUUAAUUCGAUGAUACGCGAGGAACCUUACCAGGGCUUUGAAAGUUAGCGACUAUA